rnacentral:misc_RNA from 1 species
CCGAGUGAGGGGGCCUCGCGCCCUCGACCUCCCAACCCUUUGUUUAACCAACUCUGUUGCCUCGGGGGGACCCGGCCGCGUGUCGGGCGCCCCCAGAGGGCCAAUCAACUCUGCAUCCUUGCGUCGGAGUAUUGAAAGCAAAUCAAUCA